CAAUAGCGUAUAUUAAAGUUGUUGCAGUUAAAAAGCUCGUAGUUGGAUUUCUGGUGGGAGCGAUCGGUCUGGCGCUUAGCGCGAGUACUUGCAUCGUCUCCGGCCAUCCUUGGGGAGAGUCUGUCUGGCAUUAGGUUGUCGGGCAGAGGAUCCUCAUCGUUUACUGUGAAAAAAUUAGAGUGUUCAAAGCAGGCUUAUGCCGUUGAAUAUAUUAGCAUGGAAUAAUAAGAUAGGACUUUGGUACUAUUUUGUUGGUUUGCGCACCAAAGUAAUGAUUAAUAGGGACAGUUGGGGGUAUUCGUAUUCCGUUGUCAGAGGUUAAAUUCUUGGAUUUACGGAAGACGAACUACUGCGAAAGCAUUUACCAAGGAUGUUUUCAUUAA
rnacentral:rRNA from 1 species